rnacentral:lncRNA from 1 species
GCCAUAUGAAGUGAAAACUAAAAUUACAGGAAAAUUUAGGAACCCACAUGCCCUUUUUGGCCUCGAUGGGCAGAAAUGGCAGAGGUUCAAGGGGGGAGAUGCUAAGAUUCAUGUUUUGGGGCAAAUUAAAUUCUCCAAAAGGGACAUAUAUGCAGCUUGGAGGAACUGGAGGGCUAGGGUGGAGAGCCAAGGAAGCUGGAGAAGCCAAUCAGACGGGGAGUGGAGUGUGCUGCUGUGAGGCCACUCAUGGGCUGGGUGUCCGUGGCUCUGGGCAGACCUCUCAUGACUGGUUCAGCGGAGCCCAGGGGACUGGGAACUGAACAGC